UCUAAAACGAUCAAAGCACUUUUCCUGUCCAUAGGCUUAACGAAUAUUUCCGUUACUCCUGGGUCAAGAAAUAUGGAUAACUCUUGGUUUCUUACCUUUAUUGUAGGCUGUAUUGUGGGUUAUUUGAUAGGCAAGAACCAUUGAAAAAGCUUUACAAGUUUCACAUUAAAAAUGGAUGUAGAUUGGGUGAUCACAUUUCUAGUUGGCUGUUUGGUAGGAUACAUGGUGGCCAGGAAUACCUAGGAAGGCUAUUAAAUGAAGUGCUCAAGGAGGUUAACUUUAUAUAUGAACCAACCACAGUACACUUGGGAGUCUAUGUACUAUUCCUGCCCGUAUGAACUUUGAAAUCUUGACUGGAUUUAGACUAGGAAAAACACACCGAUUUUGGUAUCAAGUAUAGAAAAUUCACCGAAUUCAAAUCACUAUAUCAAAAUGACGCACGUUAUCUCAUUUGCCUUGGGCGUGAUUAUUGGAAUGAUGAGCUGCCGGAAGUGCUAGCCCCCUUAUCAACUGAACUGGAAUUAAUCUAAAUUUAUCAAGAAAAAUGCCUGAACAAAUUUGAACAAUAAAUAAAAUCGAUUCUGUUAUUCUAAUCAGCAGUAAA